rnacentral:rRNA from 1 species
UACAGAGGUCUCAAGCGUUGUCCGGAUUUACUGGGCGUAAAGAGCGCGCAGGCGGUCGUUCAAGUCGCGUGUGAAAGCCCCCGGCUCAACUGGGGAGGGUCACGCGAUACUGAUCGACUGGAAGGCAGGAGAGGGUAGUGGAAUUCCCGGUGUAGUGGUGAAAUGCGUAGAUAUCGUGAGGAAGACCAGUUGCGAAGGCGGAUCUCUGGGCAGUUCCUGACACUGAGGCACGAAGGCCAGGGGAGCAAACGGG